CAAAUCGUCUAUAGAAAGCGAGGAUCGAGAACUGACGAGAAACGACAACGUCUGCUAAAAACAUUUCCCCAGCGGAACGCACAGCAGGCGUAAAUACUACGCUGACCUUGGAGGCGCAGUCUUCCCUGACCAACCGAAAAAGUCAUUGUUGCUCCUUGGGGCGGUACUGGUCGGUCCCCGUCUCAUGGCGCUUCGGCCAGCUUAGCGAGAACACGUUGUAAUAGCCGCCGUCUCGUUUAGGGACAGGCAUCGUGUUCCGAUAGCGUACUCGAGCUGUAGCUACCUAAUGCAAGGGCGGCGCACUGGCAUCAAGCAUCCGCGCGCGAGCAGACGACAAGACCGAGCGACCGAGCCCCGCGCUCCCCGCAUCCACUGCAUCACUUCGACAAACCGUCACGUGAGCAUACGUCAGGCGUCCGGCGUUUGAUAGGGGGCGGUGCCAGGAUGUCCGCCGCCGCGCUCCAGCGUGACAUUAUGACGACGCGACAAGGAGCCGAGUUGCGCCUCCUGCUGAGUUAUUCUUUCUCCGUGGGGGUGGUCCAAACACGCUACAGCGCCGUUACACGCCUGCGGAGAAUCAAUUCCCGCCACCAUUCAGUCCGAAGUGGAGCCUACUCAUCCCUAAAGUUAUACCAAAUCUCCCGAUGGUCAUCUGAACAUUGGUCCUGCAGCUGAAGAUCGCACUUACAAUGAAAGCUAGAAUAGAGGAUGGUGUUGUCUAUUCCCCGUUCCCUGACGUGGAAAUUCCUUGCUGCUCUUUCUAUGAAGCAGUCAAGAGAGCACUUCUGGUUGAUGCGGACAAGCCUAUCCUGGGCCAGGGUGAAAGAACCGAUGACUCGCAGCGCAGGUGUAGGAUAAUAUGCCAUUGCCCUGCGACUUGCUAACCAUCUGGUCAGCUCAGAUGGCAAUGCGACAACACUGGAAAGGCGUUGGACUUUGAUUCGGUCACCUGACACCGACAAUGUUUUCUUAACAGCGAGGUUUUCCUUCUGCAAAAAACGCAUAUAUAGCUUCCUUCGUAGCCGUACGUGAUAGUCUCGAGCGUAUGACGCUUUCUCCUUUAUGGAGUUUCACACAAAGAAAAACAGCAAGCGUGGAAUCCUAUAACGUCUACGAGGGAGUUGCAGAACAGAAUAAAAUAAGUAUAUUCCUGAUACCAAUAUAACGGCUAAUGUUUAUCUUGUUAGGACUUUCUUGUAACGUUCCGCAAGCGAGCUCCACGAUCGUAACGCGUGCACGUGCCUGCACACAGUAGAGGUUCCAAGGGUGAACCGGCUGCAGUUUUUUGACCUGAGGCUUGUCUUCUGUCGUGAUGAUCAGUUCGGCAAGUAGCACAGCUCUAGGGCAGCAAAUCCGCUCCGGAGCUUCCUGACAGGACACUAAAAACUGAUAAUACGCGGUACUAUAACUUUCUGUGACAGGUCAGCCCGUGCAGUCAUAAUGAAGCUUUGAAAUACCAAUGCCAAGAAAAUCAAAGAUGGACCGGCUGCCAGUGUUUGGUUAUCAAGUCUAUCAAGUGUUCGAGAAGUUGACAAAGUGAUUAAAAGUGAACUGGCUGAAUGGAAA